GGCUAUGGAGAGAAAAAGUUCUGCCUUCAUGGGAGCCAGACGAUGUGUUGAGGCCACAGGAACGUGGUUGGCGCCUCUUGAUUUGCUUUGAUGGGAGGCCGGAAGAAGGAGUGACAGGGGAUCCUCCAUUCUGCCUCCUCCCACCCCCUCCUCAGAGGUUGUCUUGCAAGCAUCAUCAUCCUAUAACGACCUGGUCUUUUAUUAAGAGAGGAGACUGGUUUGACUUUGGGCCGCUUCACCUCUUUUGGUAGCUUAGUGGUCAGUUUUCCCAGUGGUGGGAACUUUGUUCUACUAUGGACUCCAUAGGGGUGACGUCACUAAGUGGUGACAAUUUUCUUUCCUGUAGGACUGACACUUCCCAGGCACCUCCUUGAAGAGAGCUCUCAGCAUCCCUCAGCAUUAAAAGCACAGGACUGGCACACCAGCUAUACUCCAUUUGCCAACCUUUACCCUGACUGUUUCCACCCUCCCUUUAGAAGGCCGGAUGCCAGCACCUACUCAGCCCUCAACGGCUCCCUUGCUGAAGCACCGCUGUGUUUUCCUCCUGGUUAAGAUAUUUCUAUUUUAAGUACAGAGACUAUUUGAACAUGGAGAAAUGACCUGACGCUAGAUGUUUCCGUAAGUCUGGCAGGCAGGAAGACAGUCCAACAGGACAAAGAGCACAGACUCUGGUGCUACAAGCUGCUUCUCUCCUGGGACUGAAUGUCUAGUCCUGGGAUGAAUAACCAAGAACCUGGGUAUUUGUCUCCUUUAAGAAGCAGAUUUAUGCUGACAUGAUGACAUGGGACAACUUUUAAUAUUUUUUUUCUCCAGAUACUAUAGUAGGCAUCUGUCUGGCCAGUAUCAUUGAUUGAACAUCUCAAAAGGAAAGGACAGCCGGUCCCUGUGUUCUGCCGGGUCCACAACCUCAAAGCAGCAGCUGAGCUUUUUCGCCAGACUCUUCUCAGACUUGGAAGGCAGACUAAAUACUUUGCUGCCCGGCCACAUGAAGAUGGAAACCACAUCUUUUGAUUAAUUAAAAGCAAAAGGUUGGAACCCCCGUACCUUUCCAUUCUUUAAUUAACAAAGCCCACAGGCCACACGAGGAAGUAAUAACACUCAUUAUAUUGUGAAGAGGAUGUGUGCUGAGAGUUAAGUCAGAUGGGACUCCAGGCACAACGCCCUCCAAGCCUUCGCUGAGGUGCUCCACGGCGCAGGCAGAUCCUCACUUGCUGGAGACCUGUAGCUCACCAGCCGGGGCACGCUGCUGUAUACUUCAGUAUCCUUCCUCUUGCAAAAGAAAGAAAAGCCCCCCUCUCCGAAACAAAGGCUUCAAUUUUAAUUAAACCCCGGCCUCUCUUCUGGAAUUCCCUUUAUUGAAAGAACACCUCCUUUGAUUUCUAUCUGCUGCUGUUAGUCUCUGGAACAACAACAAAACUCUGACCCCUCCCCCGCCCUACCCCGCAGGCAGAACUGUCUUGUUCGAAUGAUCAAAAGCCCUGUCAGCUGACUUACGAACUAACAAAUUAUUUUCUUAUUGUCUCUUAAACCUCUCCGAAGCACCUUUUGAAAAUGGUCCCGUUGCUCCGCACACUUCGUGCCCGUGGGUGGCCUAAAGGAAAUCAAAGAAAUGGCAGACACCCAUUCCAUCCGAAAAUGGGAGCCCAUCCUGCCCCUUGUCUGGGUUACCCAGAACAAGAUGUAGAACUCUCAGCUCCUCCUGCACCAGGCCUGCCUGGAUGCUGCCAUGCUUCUUGACUUGAUGAUAAUGAACUGAACCUCUGAACCUGGCCCUGUUCUUGACUUCAGGUCAAAAUUGCACACCCAACAGUGGUAACGCCACUUUGACCUGUGGCUGGGAAGGCGUGUAAACUUGGAGGCUCUUUUCCCAGUCUCUCUGAUGGCAUCCUACACAGAGAAGCUGCGUUGAGGGGCCGACACCUUAUCCUAAGCACAAUGAAGUCAUUAAGCUGCCCUUAAUGCACGGAUUGGGCUUUGUCUGCUUCAAAUCAUCCCCUGGGGAUGUUAGAGGGACUUCUACCACUGAAGAGCCACCAUCUUCGCCUUGCCAGUUCUCAUUCCGGAGAAAGAGAAGAUGGAAGUUUAGUGGGAGAAAAGGAGUUCAGACAGGCCACAAAAUUUUGGUCCAGGAAAUUUACAAAUCUUAAACAAGUUACGUAAAGCGAAAGAAAGGAGGUGUUGUCUGAGCCACACAUGCUGAACUGGUUGAGAGGACAAGCCAAGCCUCAUGUCAAAGUGUUUAAUAAAGCUUCCCUUUACUCCAGCAGGAGAGUUUGGAGCUCCCCUUUCCCUAGGUAGCAAAACUAUGCCAAGGAGCAGUCACUGCCGAAAGCCCUGGCCCUGUCAGCUUCCUGAUGGUUAAUAACCGCUGGAUUUCACAUUUUCUUGGAUGGACUCUCGAAAGGAGAGGCCUUAAAAUCCUACGUUCUUCAGUGUGAUGGCAGGACUCGGAGUCCGUAGCAAUGAAGUCGUUGCCUUGGGUUAUCUGUUAAUUCUUUUGGCUCAACAUGAAGUCUGGAAAGCCAUCAAGUACAAAAGUGAAGGGGCUGGAAGAAGGCAUAAAUAGUAAAGGGGAAGUUGGACCAACAUGAGGCAAAGCUCUCUAGAGCCCAGAACGCUGUUUUCUGUGAGCUGACAAGCUCAGCCUGUAAAAUCUGGUAAUCAAGUGUAAGCGACUUGCAGGAAAUGCCGGACUAAAGAUUCAUCAAUGCCAUGUGGGCAUCUCCAGGCAACGGUCCUCAGCCUGCGAGCUGUGCGAAGCCACUUCCUGGUUCGUGGCUAGAACUCCCUUUAACUUCAAGGUAGAUUAUAAAGGAUGGAAGACGCCUCUCUGUGUCUUCCUUGUGAUGACAGCUCAGAGAGGCCGUGAAAUACACUAAUUGGGAAGAUGGGAUUUUUGUGGCUCAUGACUUCCCAACAGCUACCCCCAAGAUAAAGCCACACUGUGAGUCACAAAAUCGCAGACAUAAACACUGUCUGGCAGGAGCAACUUCUAGGCUUCUUCAAAGUUUCCAGAGAUUGUGAGCAGGAGGUAGCACGGGAGACGAGUGGAGCCAUCUCAGGACAAGUUCAGCACGGAAGGAAAUCAGUAUGAGGGAUGACGACUGGAGGGGGAGGAGCUCCAGGAUCAGCAGCUCACCUGUUCAACAGAAACUGGCUGCAGAACCAAGAGAGUACAGCGAGGGUGAGCUAGGAGGACAGACUGUGCUGACAGGAUGGAUCCAUGGUUAGUAGAAACCAUGACACCAAGUUGCAGUUUAACAUUUCCGUUUCCUUCUGUAUGGUAGCUUUCUAUCUAGCUGGCUGCUGAGACAGGCUAGGGAGAAUCAUGUCUCCACCCGUGGCUUCCUCCAUGGGCGUGUAAAUUAUUCUACCAUUCUGUGAUGACAAUAAAUACUUUAUUUGGGGGCAGUUUCACACUGUUUAUUAUGAAAAUGUUCCCCCAGUCUGCCCUGGUCAGAAGUUAUUUGAUAUGAUGCUAUCAACCUUAGCCAAUCAGAGAAUAAAAUCACCUGACUUGCCCAUCCCUGGGAACAGCACAGCACAGCACAGCACAGCAGGUAGCAUACGUUUGAAACUGGUCGUUAAAGCGGCCUGGGACCCUGUCCACUUUGCUCGUAUUCAUCUGAAUGGAUGCAUGGACUUGACACGCAGAAUGCAGUUGCCCGAGGAGCAUCUCCACCACAUGUAACACAUCCAUGCACGUGCUGGUAAGGUGCUGCUGGUCAAGCCCUGCAGCUCCAGGGUGUGCUCUCCAUGGAGAUGCAUGGAAACGGAUUGGUGUAGGUGUCCUCCUUGCUUCCUUACCCCCUUUAUUUUAUUCUAUUGUUUACAUUUGUUAUUUUUCUGUAUGCUCUUUGACAAUUAAUAUAAACACUCAAAGCUAUAGUCUCCUCUGUAAAAUUGUCUUUGGUGUUUCCCCAAAGUUCUAAGUUACCCUUCUGCUUCCACUUGACUCUGGGGAUUCAAGUUUUCCUCAGGUGCUUCAAUGCCAGGUUUAGUAUUUGAGAGCACUUGCCUUAAUCUCCAUGGAUUUAGUGAAUCCUCUACUGGUGUCUGGUGUUGUUCCACUAUAUGGAGUCAAGUAAAAAUACAGGAAAUCAUUUUCUGUAUUUUAAAAGUAGUCUACGUAUUUUACCUCUCAUCCACUUCAGCAAAAGGUCAGGGCUGUUGAGGAGAAGGUGUCUUCCGUGGCUCUGUGAUGGAGAAUCCUAUUGACUCCUAUCAAGUUCAUUUGAUCUACAGUGCAAUUUAACUCUAAAGUCUUUUUGCUGAUUGAUUUUCUCUGUCUGCGAUUAAAUGAUCUAUCUACUGAGG